UGUCCCACGUCCUUCUACCGCACGUGCUGGUCCUUCUCGCGCCUGUGCCUGCUCGAUACUUAGUCUGAAGAGCCUGUUCUCUGCAAUAGCAGGGAUGUUUUAGCGGUAGACGCUGCAGUCUGUAGCUCAACCUCUGUGUGCAGAAGUCUGCCUGGCAGCUCCUGCUGCUGUCAGAGUGACUGAAGCCUCACCUUCCCACCUCGCUGCUGCUCGCAGAUGGCAGCCGUGGUGGAAGACCUGAGCCGUGCCUGAGGUCGCAUGGCAUGUAAUGGCUUGUCCCAGCACCUCAGUGUGCGUUUGGGCAGGGCUGGCAGGAGCGUGGGGAGAGGAGGAGCAAAUGCCUCCGUAGGGCAGCCAGAUCUGUGCUGAGAUCUCCCUGAGGGAGUAAAGGAGUGUGGUCUGGCUCCAGGGUUAUGGCUGAAUUUCUGUAAAAGCAAAGGCAUUCAGGCCUAAG